GUGAGUCUGGAGCAGGCGCGCAGUUGGUGCUCCAGCUCUGUGCUUUCCCCCUCGGCGUGACUAGGGCUUGCUGCUGCUCGGGGGGGCUGCGCUGCCCCUGACUCCCGUCUGGGCGAUGGUGCGGCCUGAGGACGCCUCCAUCCCCCGCCGACGCUGACUCGGGUCCCCCAAUCCAUGGCCGCCUCGGCGCCGCCCCCACCGGACAAGCUGGAGGGAGGCAGCGGCCCCGCACCACCCCCCGCGCCGCCCAGCACCGGGAGGAAGCAGGGCAAGGCCGGUGAGAGCGCAGAGAAGGGCAGGGGCUAUGGAGGCCUAGGACCCUGGAACCUCAGAUGGAAUGGUUGGGGGAUGGGGGAAGUUGCCUAGAAGCUUGGAGGUAGCCUCAGGGGAGAAGGGUCAGUGGUUGGGGACAGGUGUCACAGAACACUUUAGGUUUUGGAGGACACUGAAUUGAGAAAACUUGGUAGUUUUGAAGAGAUUGGGUCAUCUUUGAUUUGAAGGAAGAUGUAGCUGAGAGUGUAGUCAUACUAGCCAUUUUUCAUAUUUCACCCCUGUUUCUUAAAUAAGUAAGCAAGUGUGCGUGGAAGUUAGAGUCUGGAGAGUGGCUGGGAGGAAAGAGACUGUAGAAACCUCAGGAAAACUUGCCUCCGUCUGCCCAUUGCUGCUCUUCCAGGUCUGCAAAUGAAGAGCCCUGAAAAGAAGCGAAGAAAGUCCAAUACUCAGGGUCCUGCAUACUCACAUCUGACGGAGUUCGCUCCACCCCCGACCCCCAUGGUGGAUCAUCUGGUCGCUUCUAACCCUUUUGAGGAUGACUUCGGAGCCCCUAAGAUGGGGGGUGCGGGCCCUCCGUUCCUUGGCAGUCCUGUACCCUUUGGAGGCUUUCGUGUACAGGGGGGCAUGGCAGGCCAGGUCCCCCCAGGCUAUGGCACUGGAGGAGGAGGGGGUCCCCAGCCGCUUCGUAGGCAGCCACCUCCUUUUCCUCCCAACCCUAUGGGUCCAGCUUUUAAUAUGCCUCCUCAGGGCCCUGGCUAUCCGCCCCCAGGCAAUAUGAACUUUCCCAGUCAGCCCUUCAACCAGUCUCUGGGCCAAAACUUUAGUCCACCUGGUGGGCAAAUGAUACCAGGCCCGGUGGGGGGAUUUGGUCCCAUGAUCUCACCCACCAUGGGGCAGCCCCCUAGAGGCGAGCUCGGUCCUCCUCCUCUCCCCCAACGCUUUACCCAACCAGGAGCACCCUUUGGUCCUUCUCUUCAGAGACCUGGUCAGGGACUCCCCAGCCUGCCUCCCAACACAAGUCCCUUCCCUGGUCCAGACCCUGGUUUUCCUGGCCCUGGUGGUGAAGAUGGUGGAAAGCCCUUGAAUCCACCCGCCCCCACUGCUUUUCCCCAGGAGCCCCACUCAGGCUCCCCAGCUGCUGCUGU
rnacentral:lncRNA from 1 species